ACUCUGAAUGCCAAGUCGACAAUGAACUCAAAUCAUGCUCUCCUCCUCGCUCGCAAGUGAUUUUGUUAUUCAUCUCCCUUUAUUUGGUCGCCAUUGGGCAAGGUGGACAUAAGCCCUGUGUUCAAGCUUUUGGAGCAGAUCAAUUCGAUGAACAACAUCCAAAGGAGCACAAAGAUAGAAGCUCGUUCUUUAAUUGGUGGUAUUUUACUAUGUGUGCUGGAUGCUUGGCGACCCUUUCGAUCUUGAACUAUAUACAAGACAACCUUAGUUGGGUUCUUGGAUUUGGAAUUCCUUGUAUUGCCAUGAUUCUUGCAUUACUUGUUUUCUUGUUAGGAACAAUGACCUACAGGUUUAACAUUCAGCAGCAAGACGAAAGACCCUUUCGCAGAAUUGGCCGUGUAUUUGUUGCUGCUAUAAGAAAUCGCAGAAUUGGCCGUGAUGGAAUACUUCCUAAACAAAGUUCUGAACAAUUCGAGUAAGAAUCACAAUGCUAAUUUCUGCUGGUUUUGUAGUCUUUUUUUUUGCAUUCUUAGUUCCUGUAGUGAUAUGGGCUGAGUCUGAAGUGGUAUAUUGAGGCAUCAUCUGAUCUCGUUAUAAAAAGUUGUUAUACCACAUUAAGAACAAAUCGUGAAAAUCCUGAGUGAUCAGCAUAGGAAUAAACAAGAGUAUUUAUGACAGAGAUAUAACUGCCAGUUAUAAGAACAGACAUAUAACUGCCAGUUAUAAGAACAGACAUAACGAAAGUAAAGGGAGAAGAAACAAGAUAUAUAGGCGGAUCACACACUAGUUACUAGUUAAGAAUAUACUUUUAGUUAUACUAAAUGUUUUAAGUCUAAGGUCGCUACGGAUUCUUGUCUGUAACAGUCCCAUUUGAGUUUUGUUUUUACGCUAUGUGCAACUUCCUUUACAGUGUUUUGCACAUUGACAGGUUCCUUAACAAAGCGUUGUUGGAGUUAAAGGACAAGGAUUCCAUGGAAGAGGAGAGUUGUAGCCCAAGUGAGGUAGAAGAAGCUAAAGCAGUACUAAGGCUGGUUCCCAUUUGGGCUUCAACUCUGAUUUAUGCAGUGGUGUUUGCUCAAGUUCCAACAUUCUUUACUAAGCAAGGGGUUACUCUGAAGAGAACAAUAUUACCCGGCAUUGACAUACCUCCUGCUUCUCUUCAAACGCUCAUGACUGUGGCCAUUGUUUUCUUCAGUCCCAUCUAUGACCGCUUAUUUGUGCCACUGGCAAGAGCUAUCACUGGAAAACCCUCAGGCAUCACAAUGCUGCAAAGAAUUGGAACUGGAAUUUUAAUAUCCGUGUCUAGUAUAGUAGUUGCAGCCCUUGUUGAGACCAAGAGAUUGAAAAUAGCUCAAGAGUCUGGUCUUGUUGAUGAUGCUGAAGCAAUUGUUCCGAUGAGUAUAUGGUGGUUGGUUCCCCAAUAUUUGUUGUUCGGAAUGUCUGAAGUUUUUACCAUGGUUGGUCUACAAGAAUUUUUCUAUGACCAGGUCCCAAAUGAACUGAGAAGCAUGGGUCUUGCUCUGUACUUGAGCAUAUUUGGUGCUGGGAACUUUAUAAGCAGCUUUCUGAUUUCUGUGAUAGAGGAAGUGACAGGGAAAGAAGAUAGUUGGUUUGCUAAUAAUCUGAACAAGGCGCAUCUUAAUUACUUUUACUGGCUACUUGCUGCUCUCAGUGUCAUGGGAUUGGCCUUCUUCACUUUCUUUAGUAAAUCUUACAUUUACAAUAACAAAGGUAUCAGACGACAAUAGACAAUUCUUCUUUUUCAUAGCUAUAUGGAGUGAAAAUUUUAUUUUGAUUGUCCAGGUAAACCCUCUUAUUCAGUGUACCUGUUGUUGUAUUUGGACUUUAAAAUAUAAACGACUUGUGUUUAAAAAAAUAUAUGGAGUUAGACAGUGAAUUAAGAGUAAUGGUCUAUUUUAUUGUAUGAAUUGAGCUAAUCUAGCCCUUAAGAAUGAGGGCCAAUGUGAAGGGUGUCAAACAGUCAUACCACCUAAAGCAUUCAGAACCUCAAAUCAUCCUUUAUUUAGACCAUGUUUGGUUGAGGUUGAGAGUGGAAAGGGAAAGAAAAGAACGAAAAGAUACUCGCGCAAGUUAGAUUCUUUGAAUUUAAGAAAGUUAAAAGUGAGUAAUGAAAAAUUUGUAAAUUAUAUGAUUGGCGUGACUAAAAAAGAUAUUAAAAUAAUUAUAUAACUUAGAAAUUUAUGAUAAUACUCUUAUCUUAAAGUUGAAAAUGUUAAUAUAUUUUUAUUAAAAACUAAAUGUUUAUAUGUAUCAAUGUUUAUAUGUUAUAGAAAAAUUAGUUUGAAGUUUGUAAUUAUAGAAAAAAAUUGAGACUUAAAAAUUUGGGUAGAACCAAUAUUAUUAAUUAAAGGUGGAUUAUAUUUGUUAUAUUUGGACCAUGGUUAUGGAAAAGAAAUGUGAAAAUAGGUGUACAUGAAAUAUAAUAAUUGUCUAACUUAUACUAGGAUUUAUCAUCGUAUUUUAGCCAUUCACAUGGUGUUCAAUCCAUGAAUUUAAACUCAUCAAUAAUUCUUAAACUCAAACAAUUGAAUAAAUUUUUUUAAUGUUUAGAGACAUAAUUACAAAAAAGGAAAAUCUAUGAUCAAUAAGUUAUACUUAAAAACUAGCUAUAUUCUUGUUCUAGUCAAAAGUACCUCAAUAUCAUUCUUAUGGUUUCUUGCUAAAACAUUUAGAAUUGAGUAAGUUUCUCCAUAUUGGUAGAUACAGUUAGUUGUUUUGUUAUUCUAAGGUCUUUAACCAAUAUCAUUUAUCUCUUAAAAGUUUGUAUUUUUCCCAAUCAAUUUCAAAUAUAGCAGUUCUUGUGAUUUUUCUCUAAAAUUGCGACUAGUUUUAUUGAAUCUCUUUAUUAGUGAUUAAUGACCAUAUAACUAACUCAUUAGAUUUAUGAACUCUGAAUCCCCUGAAUCAUUAAGCUUUCUGCGAAAAUCAAAGCUUUCUGAAAAAUGCACAGCAGAAGCUCACAUCUGAGAAUUGAGGUCAAGUUGGUUUAAGUAAAGAAUAUACAUGCAACAAGAUUCUGGCAUCCAACCAAUUGUUGAUUUAUUCACAAUGAAUAGCAUCUAAUAUCAAUUCCAAACAUACAUUAAUUUUAAGGGUUUUGUUAUUGAGUUUCCAAGGCCCCGUUAAGGGGCUGUUAAUAAACUGUUAGAUACUUAACAAGUAUGAAAUGGUGGGUUAUUGAUACAAUAAUUAGGUUCCUUUUCAUAAUAGUUUUUACUUUUGUUUCCUUAACUGGUUAUCUAGAAAAAUGCUUAGCGAAUUCCUAAUUUUAAAAUGAAAUAGUGGUGUUAAGAUAAGACGGAAAUAGAACCUUAUCCAUGUUUGGCACAAGUUCUUGAAGCUUUCUAACAGGUGGCCGGAGUUGAGCGGAAGCUGGGAAGUCUGGCGGCGGAAUUGGGUUGCACGGCCGUGAUCGUGAUGUGUGGGGGGUGGGGGAUCGGAGGUGGAGCAGAGUAGAGCAGAACAGAGCCUCUGUUCUCUCCUAAUGGAUUAGUGGACCUCACCUUCCAUCUCUCUCCUCCAAUCCACUUCACCCUAUUGCAAGGGUCCCACCUUUCACCUUCACCUUCACCUGAAUCAAUUAUUGGUUUUUAAUAAUGAUUAGGAUAAAAAUAAUUUUAUUCAGAAAUGAAUUGGAAAGUUUGGAAGAGGUGUAUAAGGGCUAAAGGGGAGAUAUUUAGGGGGAUUUAUUAGGAAGAGUGGAAAAAAAAGGGUGAGAAAUUAAGGUGAAGAGAAAUCGGAGGAUGGGGAAGGGAUUGGAAGAAGCAGUGGGAGCAGAGGAGGAGGAGGAGAGGGACGAUGUGGUGGAUGGUGCGGUGGACUUCAGAGGUGGAACCGCCGUGAGAUCCAAAUCUGGGUCGUGGAGAUCCGCGGGGCUUAUCAUAGGUAAGGUAGUGAUUAAUUGAAGUUGAAAUUGAAUUAAGGAGGAGUUUAACAUUAACAUGUGUGAAAUCGGAAUCAGGUGUGGAAGUGGCGGAGAGAAUUGCGUAUUAUGGGAUUCAGGGGAACAUGAUAUCGUAUCUCACCGGACCUCUCCGUCAGAGCACGGCCACCGCCGCAGAGAACAUCAAUGUCUGGUCGGGAACUGCUUCCUUGCUUCCUCUGCUUGGGGCUUUCCUCGCCGAUUCCUUUCUCGGCCGCUACCGCACUAUCAUACUCGCUUCCCUCGUCUACAUCCUGGUCACUCACUCACUCAUUCUUUCAAUUUCCUAUUUUAACAUCAAGGAUAUUUAAUAUAUUUCAAUAAUUUAUUAUGUUCAAUACUGAAUUUAGCAACUAAAAUAAUAAAAAAUCACGAAUAUCUAAUUUAAUACAGUAAUAAGUAAAUUACUUUUUAUUCAUACUAAUCCCUAUCAUAAAUAGGAAAAAUAACUUUUAGUCCUUAGGUUGACUUGAUAUUAAUAUUUUCUUUUAAAAUAUAAGUGAGAAUAAUGAAAUGAUUGUCGUGUAGCCAGUUUCGUUAUUAUUGAACUGGUUUCAAUUUUGUUAGAUUUUUUUUUAAAAUAUCAAUUUUGUAUGCUCAUCAAUUACAAAUACUAUUCACUAUUCAGACGGUCAAAUUUUUCUUCGAGUUAUAACUAUUUAACAAGUUUAUUGAUGGUAAUAAUUGCUAAGUAUUAGUUAGUGAAUCUAAUUAAAGUUUUUAACUAUCAUAAGAAUAAAUAUGUAUAUUUUUUUUUAAAUAGUUUCAUUUUUAUUAUAUAUUUUCUACUCUUGUUUGUUUUGAAUUUCAAGGUAACAUUUAACUUAACUAUAGUCUUGAAAACUUCUUUAAAAUUAAAGUAAAUAAAAAAUUGAAAAUAAAGUUAAAAUUACGAAUGGUUAAAAACUACUCAUUGUCUACAAGAAUUUAUAAAGUUUCCCAGCACUUUGGCAUAACUACUAUUUUUUUAUAUAUAUUUUAUAGCCGAGUCAAACGCCAUGUUAAACGUAUUUUCAGUGGUAAUAGUAGUAAUAAUAAUUACACUUUUACAUUUCUCUUAAAUUUUUUCAGGAUGUAUACUAUUUUUGAAAAACUGGUUUCAAUUAAUUUUACAAAGUAAUGCUAAUAUAUUUAAUUUAUUCAUUUGAUUGCUAAAAAAACGUAAUUUAUUUCAACAUAUAAUCUUUAAUAAUACUAAAAUGUCUUUUUGUACUUUGGUUUUUAACUUAAACAUGUUUAAUCACCCUCAAAACAUAAACAAUUUCACGUGAUGCUUUAAAAUUGCUAUUGCAAUUAAAUUCAGUGGUGUUUUGGUAAUAAGACCAGAAAAAAAAUGUGUCGUUCAUAAUAAGAUGAUGUUAUUAUCAUCGAACUGUUUGCACUUGGGUUGCUUCUGCUUCACUUCGAUGUUUGAACAGGAACUUCAAUUUUAGGGCUUUCUUAAUUGAAGGCGCCAAAUCAUUGAAAUUUAUUUCGCUCAUGAACGACUUAGUUAAAGAAAAGAUUGUGCAUUCUGUAUUAUUUAUUUUAAAUAAUAGGUUAUAGUUUGAUAUGAUGAUUUGAUUAUACUCAUUUCCAUUAUGUUUCUGUUUUUCUCAGCGAUCUUGAAUUGCUAGUGAAUGGAAAAUUAAGUAAAAGUUUGAUACGAUGAUUUAAUUUGACACAUGUGUUCUUACAUUGUUUUGAUGUUAAUCCAUGGCUUAAUAUGAAUCACAGGGUCUAGGACUGUUAACGUUAUCAGCUAUGCUUCCUUCUCUCUCCAACUCUGAAUGCCAAGUCGACGAUGAACUCAAAUCAUGCUCUCCUCCUCGCUCGCAAGUGAUUUUGUUUUUCAUCUCCCUUUAUUUGGUCGCCAUUGGGCAAGGUGGACAUAAGCCCUGUGUUCAAGCUUUUGGAGCAGAUCAAUUCGAUGAACAACAUCCAAAGGAGCACAAAGAUAGAAGCUCGUUCUUUAAUUGGUGGUAUUUUACUAUGUGUCUUGGAUGCAUGGCAACUCUUUCGGUCUUGAACUAUAUACAAGACAACCUUAGUUGGGUUCUUGGAUUUGGAAUUCCUUGUAUUGCCAUGAUUCUUGCAUUACUUGUUUUCUUGUUAGGAACAAUGACCUACAGGUUUAACAUUCAGCAGCAAGACAAAAGACCCUUUCGCAGAAUUGGCCGUGUAUUUGUUGCUGCUAUAAGAAAUCGCAGAAUUGGCCGUGAUGGAAUACUUGCUCAUCAAAGUUCUGAACAAUUCGAGUAAGAAUCACAAUGCUAAUUUCUGCUGGUUUUGGAGUCUUAUUCUUAGUCCCAUUUGAGUUUUGUUUUUACGCUAUGUGCAACUUCCUUUACAGUGUUUUGCACAUUGACAGGUUUCUGAACAAAGCGUUGUUGGAGCUAAAGGACGAGGAUUCCAUGGAAGAGGAGAGUUGUAGCCCAAGUGAGGUAGAAGAAGCUAAAGCAGUACUAAGGCUGGUUCCCAUUUGGGCUUCAACUCUGAUUUAUGCAGUGGUGUUUGCUCAAGUUCCAACAUUCUUUACUAAGCAAGGGGUUACUCUGGAGAGAACAAUAUUACCCGGCAUUGACAUAC
rnacentral:lncRNA from 1 species